rnacentral:lncRNA from 1 species
GAGGAAGAGAGAGCGGGGGAGGAGAGAGAGAGAGAGAGUUCGGGAGAGAGUGAGCAAGAGAGGAAGAAGAAGAAGAGGAGGAAGAGGAGAAAAGGAAGAAGGAGAGAGAGAACGAGGACGUGGGAGAUGGUGGAAGAGGAGGAGGUGGCGAUGGACGGCGUGAUAUGCCGGAAAAGGAGGUGGCGAUGGACGGCGUGAUAUGCCGGAAAAGGGAGCUCGGUGGCGGUGGGGAUGAUGGCGUGGAAGGAGGAGAACAGGCGUUUUCUCCCCCGUGUCCUCGGUCGUAUUCAUCCACAGGGCACCGCCUUAAGGUGGGCCCUACGGACUUGGGCCACGGCCCAGGUUCAACACCUAUAAAAUCUUCAACACAAACGGAAUAAGGACUUGUGACUAGGGUUACGACAAUAUAUAAGCAUAGCGAAACCAACGAUAGAAAAAUAAAGAAUCCACGUAUCAACGCAAAAUGAUGGACAAAAAUGCACCUAAUUCAAG